CCUACGGGAGGCAGCAGUGAGGAAUAUUGGUCAAUGGGCGCGAGCCUGAACCAGCCAAGUCGCGUGAAGGAUGACUGCCCUACGGGUUGUAAACUUCUUUUAUAAAGGAAUAAAGUGAGGCACGUGUGCCUUUUUGUAUGUACUUUAUGAUUAAGGAUCGCCUAACUCCGUGCCAGCAGCCGCGGUAAUACGGAGGAUCCGAGCGUUAUCCGGAUUUAUUGGGUUUAAAGGGAGCGUAGAUGGGUUGUUAAGUCAGUGGUGAAAGUUUGCGGAUAACGCGUAAAAUUGCAAUUGAUACUGGCAGCCUUGAGUACAGUUGAGGUAGGCGGAAUUCGUGGUGUAGCGGUGAAAUGCUUAGAUAUCACGAAGAACUCCGAUUGCGAAGGCAGCUUACUAAACUGCCACUGACAUUGAUGCUCGAAAGUGUGGGUAUCAAACAGGAUUAGAUACCCGGGUAGUC
rnacentral:rRNA from 1 species